UACGUAGGGGGCUAGCGUUGUCCGGAAUCAUUGGGCGUAAAGCGCGCGUAGGCGGCCAGAUAAGUCCGGUGUGAAAGUCACAGGCUCAACCUGUGAAUGCCGCUGGAAACUGUCUGGCUUGAGUCCGGAAGGGGCGAGUGGAAUUCCGUGGUGUAGCGGUGAAAUGCGCAGAUAUCAGGAGGAACACCAAUGGCGAAGGCAGCUCGCUGGAACGGUACUGACGCUGAGACGCGAAAGCGUGGGGAGCGAACAGGG
rnacentral:rRNA from 1 species